rnacentral:rRNA from 1 species
CGCCCUUAGAGUUUGAUCAUGGCUCAGGACGAACGCUGGCGGCGUGCCUAAUACAUGCAAGUCGAGCGAGGAUUCCUUCGGGAUGCUAGCGGCGGAUGGGUGAGUAACACGUGGGCAAUCUGCCCUAAAGACUGGGAUACCACUUGGAAACAGGUGCUAAUACCGGAUAACAACAUGAUCGCAUGAUUCAAGUUGAAAGGCGGUAAUGUCACUUUAGGAUGAGCCCGCGGCGCAUUAGCUAGUUGGUGGGGUAAAGGCCUACCAAGGCAAUGAUGCGUAGCCGAGUUGAGAGACUGAUCGGCCACAUUGGGACUGAGACACGGCCCAAACUCCUACGGGAGGCAGCAGUAGGGAAUCUUCCACAAUGGACGCAAGUCUGAUGGAGCAACGCCGCGUGAGUGAAGAAGGUUUUCGGAUCGUAAAGCUCUGUUGUUGGUGAAGAAGGAUAGAGGCGUAAGUCUUUAUUUGACGGUAAUCAACCAGAAAGUCACGGCUAACUACGUGCUAGCAGCCGCGGUAAUACGUAGGUGGCAAGCGUUGUCCGGAUUUAUUGGGCGUAAAGCGAGCGCAGGCGGAAUGAUAAGUCUGAUGUGAAAGCCCACGGCUCAACCGUGGAACUGCAUCGGAAACUGUCAUUCUUGAGUGCAGAAGAGGAGAGUGGAAUUCCAUGUGUAGCGGUGGAAUGCGUAGAUAUAUGGAAGAACACCAGUGGC